rnacentral:lncRNA from 1 species
UGCGUCCCAAGGACGGCUGCCCCCUUCAUCCUCGCUUCUGAAAUGCUCCUUUGCCCAUGGCUACGUUCCCCUGUCCCCAGAGCCACCUCUCGUGGAUCCCGCAUCCCUAAUUCUCAGUAGUACCACUGCUUCCCCAAAUCCCACUUUGCUGCAGCAGGUCUGGGCAAUCCCCAGCAUGUGGUCACACCUUUGCUAGAUCCCUUUUCCAAACUCCAUACUCUUCUGUGCCUUCUUUGCAGAUGCCAUGGAUCUGCCCCGGCAAGACCUUCCCCCACUAUGCUUUUGAAUAACGUUGCUUUUGUAUGGCGAUGUUUGCCUUCAUCCCCACUUCUGCACAUCCCUCAUCUGCUGCUGUUGUAUUCCCAAGCUUGGAGGCUUGCGAGUCAGUGAGAAGAGAGAACAAGAGACACCUGCAGAGAAUGAUUCAUUCUGUGCCUGUUCGACACCGCUCUGGAUGGAACAAGUCUCCUUGCUGGGUGUUGUCUCUCCCCAUCAAUUCUCAGCAGAAGCUAGACAACCAGUUCUGACCAGAAGCCUGACUUACGGGUGCCACGUGAGAUGAAUUGUACCACAGAUGACUAAUUUUUCUCAUUCAUCAUACCUGCUUUUGGCCUAUAGAAGUUGGAAAUCCUGUCCGGUUACAGCUGUCCAAAUCCUUCAGCUCACACCAUUACCUGCUGUAAGUGCUGCCUUGGGGCUGACCGCCUGCUCAUAAAGGAGCGGCGUACUGCCUUAGUGGUUCCAGCAGGGUAGUGGAGGGGAAUCGUGUGCCAUAUCUUCCUGCUUUCCAAUCCAAGAUGCCAAAGUCUACCGGAGCACACAGUUGACUAGUAUAAAAUGAUACAUGCAGACCAGAAGUGGAAUACAUAUUGAUCAGAAGUUGAGUACGUGCUGACAAACCACCUCAAAAAAAACACAGUAACUGCUCUGAUUUAACACAGCAGUUGGCUGGAUCCAUAUGGAGCUGAUGAACCUCUGAAUGAAUAGUGAAUGGAAAAACUGCUGGAAUCUGCCUUCAGCUUUGUUCCCAGGAUGACCAAUGUAAAAGGCCUAAGAGCAAUACUGCACAGAUGGUGUAAAGAGGUUUAUGAGCAAGCAAGAAGUAAAGUGGAAUCAACAGGGAUGUUGUGAAUGGCUUUUGUAGUCCUGCUGUCACUGGGGAAUCAUGCACGUCUGCCGGUCCUGAAGCAUUUCUUGGUUGUUUAUGAGGGCUGAAAUCACCUCCUUUCAAAUUUACCUUUUGGACUCUGCACCACUGUGGUUAGCACCGGGCUGUAUAUCUGAGCUGAAAGACAACACCUCCAGCAAUACCGUGUCCUUGGCACUGUGUGGCUUCAGGUCUGACUCAGAUGGAUAAACGCCUUUGGAGGAGUGACUUGAAGUGUAAACCACACUAUCUGCUUUUAAUCUUGGAUUCUUUCCAGCUCCAGAUUUCACAUCUCUGUUACAGGCCAACAAACAGCCCUGGGAUCCAAAAAAAUACCUUUGCAACCACGCUCUAAUAAAUAAAUCUCUUUCUAUUGAUACAUACCUCUGAUAACUUCUACUGCACAGUGAAUACAUUGAUGGAUGUAUAUUAAGUGGAAAUGAAACAAUGCACAUUGCUGUGUGUAUUCAUUGUUUUUAGCAAUUGUUUGUUCAGUGAAAUAAGAUUUCACCGAGCAGUUAAGGAUAGUUUAGCUAUGCUUAACUUUUAUUAAUAAAAUUAGUACCUGAGGUGGAAUGAUUUCUUAGCAUCAACCCAAAAUAGCAGCAGGCAGAGCAGGUACAAUAGACAUUGUCACAAGGAUUAUAGUAUUUACACUCUGCUGAUGGUUACAAGUUCUUGAUGACAAACCAGAUUGUAUUAUAAAAUGCUAAAUUAAGAAAACAUCACACAUAACUUUAUUUUCCAUAAUUUUAAAGCAGGUUUGCGUGAAAAACAUUCACUUCUUUUUUCUUGAGAAUAGCCAUUACACAGCCCCGUGCUCUGAUCUUUUCUGCUUCUUUCACUUCGCUUUGCUUUUGCUCUUAUUCAGAACACAAUAAAUGUCACCAAUUUCUGUACACCUGGUGUAUGAAGAAGACAAAUACAAUAUUCAUCAGAGUGCCAUGUAGGCCUUUUUCUACCUCUGCCACUUUUUCGGGUAAAUUCUACUUAGCAGCUCAUUUCUGUUAAACCUUGGUGGUUUACAAUAACCUGGAGAUCCUCCUUAAGUGCUAGCAAAUGACUUAAAAAUAAACAAGAG